CCUACGGGAGGCAGCAGUGAGGAAUAUUGGUCAAUGGCCGUAAGGCUGAACCAGCCAAGUAGCGUGAGGGAAGACUGCCCUAUGGGUUGUAAACUUCUUUUAUGCGGGGAUAAAGGUGUCCACGUGUGGAUUUUUGUAUGUACCGCAUGAAUAAGGACCGGCUAAUUCCGUGCAAGCAGCCGCGGUAAUACGGAAGAUCCGGGCGUUAUCCGGAUUUAUUGGGUUUAAAGGGAGCGUAGGCGGGUCUUUAAGCGUGCAGUGAAAGUUUGUGGCUCAACCAUAAGAGUGCGACGGGAACUGGAGACCUUGAGUGCACGGAAGGCAGGCGGAAUUCGUGGUGUAGCGGUGAAAUGCUUAGAUAUCACGAAGAACCCCGAUUGCGAAGGCAGCCUGCCACAGCGUUACUGACGCUGAAGCUCGAAAGCGCGGGUAUCGAACAGGAUUAGAUACCCGAGUAGUC
rnacentral:rRNA from 1 species